rnacentral:rRNA from 1 species
UACGAAGGGGGCUAGCGUUGCUCGGAAUCACUGGGCGUAAAGCGCACGUAGGCGGAUUGCUAAGUCAGGGGUGAAAUCCUGGAGCCUCGAACUCCAGAACUGCCUUUGAUACUGGCGACCUUGAGUCCGGGAGAGGUGAGUGGAACUGCGAGUGUAGAGGUGAAAUUCGUAGAUAUUCGGAAGAACACCAGUGGCGAAGGCGAACUUACUGGACGAUUGUUGACGCUGAGGUGCGGAAAAGCGUGGGGAGCAAACAGGG